UUUUUAAUUAAAAACUAGAAUGAAAGGUUAUACAUUCAAAUUUCUUUAUUAAUUUUUAAUAAAUAAUUUAUAUUAAAUAUAAAAAUAUAUUUAUAAAAAAAAAAGACGACAAGACCCUAUUAAAUUUUACUUAUAGUUUAGCUGGGGAAGCUUUUUAAUUAAAAUUUUUUAAAUUUAAUAAAUAAAAAUCUAAUAAAAUUAAAAUUUUAAUAAAUUACUAUAGGGAUAACAGCAUUAUAUUUUUUUAAAGUUCAUAUUAAAAAAAAAAAUUGUGACCUCGAUGUUGAAUUAUAUUUUCUAUAUUUAAUGCAAUAAUUAUAAAAGUAGAUCUGUUCGAUCUUUAAAAUAUUACAUGAUUUGAGUUCAAACCGGUGUAAACCAGGUUGGUUUCUAUCUUUUUAUAUAUUUUUCUAGUACGAAAGGACAAAAAAAUUUUUAUUUCAAUAAAUUAGCAAAUAAAUGCAUUAGAUUUAGAAUCUAAAUAUAUUUAAUA
rnacentral:rRNA from 1 species